rnacentral:rRNA from 1 species
AUUGAACGCUGGCGGCAUGCCUUACACAUGCAAGUCGAACGGCAGCGGGGGAGAAGCUUGCUUUUCCUGCCGGCGAGUGGCGAACGGGUGAGUAAUACAUCGGAACGUGCCCUGUAGUGGGGGAUAACUAGUCGAAAGAUUAGCUAAUACCGCAUACGACCUGAGGGUGAAAGUGGGGGACCGCAAGGCCUCAUGCUAUAGGAGCGGCCGAUGUCUGAUUAGCUAGUUGGGGGGGUAAAGGCCUACCAAGGCGACGAUCAGUAGCUGGUCUGAGAGGACGAUCAGCCACACUGGGACUGAGACACGGCCCAGACUCCUACGGGAGGCAGCAGUGGGGAAUUUUGGACAAUGGGCGAAAGCCUGAUCCAGCAAUGCCGCGUGUGUGAAGAAGGCCUUCGGGUUGUAAAGCACUUUUGUCCGGAAAGAAAUGGCUCUGGUUAAUACCUGGGGUCGAUGACGGUACCGGAGGAAUAAGGACCGGCUAACUACGUGCCAGCCGCCGCAGUAA